UACGGGAGACCUCGAGCGUUACUCGGAUUCACUGGGCGUAAAGGGUGAGUAGGCGGCCAUGUAUGUCGGGUGUGAAAUCCCGGGGCUUAACCCCGGAACUGCGCCCGAAACUACUUGGCUAGAGUCUCGGAGAGGAUAGUGGAAUUCCAGGUGUAGCGGUGAAAUGCGUAGAUUUCUGGAGGAACACCAGUGGCGAAGGCGACUGUCUGGACGAGAACUGACGCUCAAUCACGAAAGCGUGGGUAGCGAAAGGGAUUAGAUACCCCUGUAGUCCACGCCGUAAACGUUGUACACUAAGUUUCGGAGGAUUCGACCCCUUCGGAGCUCAAGCUAACGCGUUAAGUGUACCGCCUGAGGACUACGGCCGCAAGGCUAAAACUCAAAUGAAUUGACGG
rnacentral:rRNA from 1 species